rnacentral:rRNA from 1 species
UACGGAGGGCGCGAGCGUUAUCCGGAUUCAUUGGGUUUAAAGGGUGCGCAGGCGGCCUGGCGAGUCAGCGGUGAAAGCCCGGGGCCCAACCCCGGAAGUGCCGUUGAUACUGUCGGGCUGGAAUGCGGUCGGGGCUGGCGGAACGUGGCGUGUAGCGGUGAAAUGCGUAGAUAUGCCACAGAACGCCGAUAGCGGAGGCAGCCAGCCGGGCCUGCAUUGACGCUCGGGCACGAAAGCGUGGGUAGCGAAC